rnacentral:rRNA from 1 species
UACGUAGGUGGCAAGCGUUGUCCGGAAUCAUUGGGCGUAAAGAGCGUGUAGGCGGCCUUUUAAGUCCUGCGUGAAAUCCUGCGGCUCAACCGCAGACGGUCGUGGGAAACUGGAAGGCUAGAGUGCGGGAGAGGAGAGUGGAAUUCCCGGUGUAGCGGUGAAAUGCGCAGAUAUCGGGAAGAACACCCGUGGCGAAGGCGGCUCUCUGGAACGCAACUGACGCUGAGACGCGAAAGCGUGGGGAGCAAACAGG